AGCUUUGCCCAGUGGCAGUAUCGUAGCCAAUGAGGUUUAUCCGAGGCACAAUUAUUGCUAAUAGAAGAUAUACAUCCCA
rnacentral:snRNA from 1 species